rnacentral:lncRNA from 1 species
UUCCUUCCAUCCUUCCAUCCUUCCUGGUGUGGUGCAGGGGUGGAAUGCUGAAGCGGUGUUGAAAGAAAAGUGAAGAUGGCGGUGGUGGUGGUGGUGAAUGGUGAUGGUCUUCAUUUCUCUGUUUCUGUUUGUUUUUCUGGCAGUCAAAUUUGCCACACCUGAUGGUAUGGUAUUAUUAUUCUUCUUUCUUCUUCCCAGUUUCCAAACUCCCCAAUAUAUUAAUAUUAUGAAGGAACAUGUAUAUGUAAAUGGGACUGAUAGGAGCUCUAUCUUAUCGUGUUUGGUUUAGCAGCAAGCAUGAGCGAUGUGAAUGGGACUGAUAGGAUACUCAGAUUCAACUGUAAGGUUUAGUAGACAAAUUUUGCUCAGCACAAGUAUAACAUCGAAACUAUGUCAGCCGAAAACAUACAAAUCAUAUUUAGUAUUU